UUAAAUUUAUUGCUUGCUUUGGCAGCACUAAAAUUGGAACGAUACAGAGAAGAUUAGUAUGACCCCUACACAAGGAUGACAUGCAAAUUUGCAGUGUUCCAUAUUUUC
rfam:Mustela putorius furo unplaced genomic scaffold scaffold00058, whole genome shotgun sequence.